GCAUCCCGGUUUUCAGUUUUGGUUUUUGGCGGAUCGCAAGGUGCACAUGCAAUCAAUGAAGCUCUGGUUGAGGCGCUAGCGCACCUCGAAGAAUAUCGCGGAGUGCUGAGGAUUACGCAUCAAACCGGAGAAACCGACUUCGAGCUAGUGCGCAAA
rnacentral:misc_RNA from 1 species